AUGACGACCGCAUCCCCCUCGCAGGUGCGCCAGAACUACCACCAGGACUCGGAGGCCGCCAUCAACCUCCAGAUCAACCUGGAGCUCUACGCCUCCUAUGUCUACCUGAUCAUGUCGUACUAUUUUGACCGUGAUGAUGUGGUUUUGAAGAACUUUGCCAAAUACUUUCUUCACCAAUCUCAUGAGGAGAGGGAACAUGCUGAGAGACUGAUGAAGCUGCAGAACCAGCGAGGCGGCCGAAUCUUCCUUCAGGAUAUCAAGAAACCAGACCGUGAUGACUGGGAGAAUGGGCUGACUGCAAUGGAAUGUGUGCUGUGCUUGGAGAGAAGUGUGAAUCAGUCACUACUGGAACUGCACAAACUGGCCACUGAAAAACAUGAUCCCCAUCUGUGUGAUUUCAUUGACUCAUUACCUAAAUGAGCAGGUGGAAGCCAUCAAAGAAUUGGGUGACCACAUAACCAACCUGCGCAAGAUGGGGGCCCCUGGAUCUGGCAUGGCAGAGUACCUCUUUGACAAGCACACCCUGGGACACAGUGAGAGCUAA
rnacentral:lncRNA from 1 species